ACGGGAGGCAGCAGUGGGGAAUAUUGGACAAUGGGGGAAACCCUGAUCCAGCGACGCCGCGUGAGUGAAGAAGUAUUUCGGUAUGUAAAGCUCUAUCAGCAGGGAAGAUAAUGACGGUACCUGACUAAGAAGCCCCGGCUAACUACGUGCCAGCAGCCGCGGUAAUACGUAGGGGGCAAGCGUUAUCCGGAUUUACUGGGUGUAAAGGGAGCGUAGACGGUUUUGCAAGUCUGAAGUGAAAGCCCGGGGCCCAACCCCGGAACUGCUUUGGAAACUGUAGAACUGGAGUGCAGGAGAGGUAAGUGGAAUUCCUAGUGUAGCGGUGAAAUGCGUAGAUAUUAGGAGGAACACCAGUGGCGAAGGCGGCUUACUGGACGAUAACUGACGUUGAGGCUCGAAAGCGUGGGGAGCAAACAGGAUUAGAUACCCUGGUA
rnacentral:rRNA from 1 species